CAACGCGAANAACCUUAUCCUUUGUUGCCAGCGGUNNGGCCGGGAACUCAAAGGAGACUGCCAGUGAUAAACUGGAGGAAGGUGGGGAUGACGUCAAGUCAUCAUGGCCCUUACGAGUAGGGCUACACACGUGCUACAAUGGCGCAUACAAAGAGAAGCNACCUCGNGAGAGCAAGCGGACCUCAUAAAGUGCGUCGUAGUCCGGAUUGGAGUCUGCAACUCGACUCCAUGAAGUCGGAAUCGCUANUAAUCGUGGAUCAGAAUGCCACG
rnacentral:rRNA from 1 species